rnacentral:rRNA from 1 species
CCCUUAGAUGUUCUGGGCCGCACGCGCGCUACACUGAUGCAUUCAACGAGUUUCUUCCUGGUCCGAGAGGAAUGGGUAACCUUUUGAAAGUGCAUCGUGAUAGGGAUAGACUAUUGCAAUUAUUGGUCUUCAACGAGGAAUUCCUAGUAGACGUAGUUCAUCAGACUGCAUCGAUUACGUCCCUGCCCUUUGUACACACCGCCCGUCGCUCCUACCGAUUGAAUGCUCAGGUGAGCCAUUCGGACUUUAAUCAUGCUGGUUUCCAGUUUUGAUGAAGGAAAGUCUUGCGAACCUUAUCAUUUAGAGGAAGGAGAAGUCGUAACA